rnacentral:rRNA from 1 species
ACGCUCGACACCUACGGGAGGCAGCAGUUGGGAAUAUUGGACAAUGGNGGAAACUCUGAUCCAGUGACGCCGCGUGAAGGAAGAAGGUCUUCGGAUUGUAAACUUAUUUUGUCAGGGAAGAAAAAUGACUGUACCUGAAGAAAAAGACACCGGCUAACUACGUACCAGCAGCCGCGGUAAUCUGAGCGGGCUGGCAAGGC